GACGAACCGUGCGAACGUUAUUCGGAAUCACUGGGCUUAAAGCGCGUGUAGGCGGGACGGCACGUCGGUCGCUGAAAUCCCCCGGCUUAACCGGGGAACGGGCGCCGAUACGACCGGCCUGGAGGGACGUAGGGGGACCUGGAACUUCCGGUGGAGCGGUGAAAUGCGUAGAUAUCUGGAGGAACACCGGUGGCGAAGGCGGCAUCCUGGACCAACACUGACACUGAGGAGCGAAAGCCAGGGGAGCAAACAGG
rnacentral:rRNA from 1 species